UUGGGUGCAGCGUAGCCCGGUAUCGCGCCUGCUUUGGGAGCAGGAGGUCGUAGGUUCGAAUCCUGCCACUCGAU
rnacentral:tRNA from 1 species